UACAGAGGUGGCGAAUGUUGUUCGGAUUUACUGGGCGUAAAGCGAUUGUAGGCGGUUAAGAAAGUUAGAUGUGAAAGCCCCGGGCUCAACCCGGGAAUUGCAUUUAAAACUCCUUAGCUAGAAUUAUGGAGAGGUUGACGGAAUUCCGAGUGUAGAGGUGAAAUUCGUAGAUAUUCGGAGGAACAUCAGUUGCGUAAGCGGCCAACUGGACUGGUAUUGACGCUCAGGCACGAAAGCGUGGGGAUCAAACAGG
rnacentral:rRNA from 1 species